rnacentral:rRNA from 1 species
AGAAUCAACGCUGGCGGCGUGCCUAACACAUGCAAGUCGAACGAGAAGGUGGAGCAAUCCAUGAGUAAAGUGGCGCACGGGUGAGUAACACGUGACUAACCUACCCUUGAGUGGGGGAUAACCUAGAGAAAUCUGGGCUAAUACCGCAUAAUACCUUCGGGUCAAAGGAGCAAUUCGCUUAAGGAGGGGGUCGCGGCCGAUUAGUUAGUUGGCGGGGUAAUGGCCCACCAAGACUAUGAUCGGUAUCCGGCCUGAGAGGGCGCACGGACACACUGGAACUGAAACACGGUCCAGACUCCUACGGGAGGCAGCAGUGGGAAUUUUGCGCAAUGGGGGAAACCCUGACGCAGCAACGCCGCGUGGAGGAUGAAGUCCCUUGGGACGUAAACUCCUUUCGAUCGGGACGAUAAUGACGGUACCGAGAGAAGAAGCCCCGGCUAACUUCGUGCCAGCAGCCGC